UGAUGUCCUUUACCUGUAGAGAGACCU
rnacentral:piRNA from 1 species